rnacentral:rRNA from 1 species
AUGAUUGUACCAAGUCCGUGCCGAACUGGUCCACCUAGACGUGGUUGUUUCCAACAAUCACCCCCAACCACGAUGUCCUUACUUCACAGCUUGAACGCCGAUCCUUCCCCGUAUCUCCGUGAACUUCUGUCGUCCCAAAGACUUGGUCAGGAUGUCUGCAAGCUGGUCGUCGGUGUAAAUGUAGUUGACUUUAAUCUUCCCUUCUUCCAUGCAAUUUCGUAUGUAAUGAUACCUUAUAUCAAUGUGCUUACUUCUAUCAUGAUGCACUGGAUUUUUACACAGAGCAAUCAUGGACUUGUUGUCAACAUAAAGCACCACUCCUUCCGGUUCCUUGUCAGUGAGGUCACCGAGUAG